UCUUGCCCUUCCACCUAGUUUCCAUGUUAUGAUGCAGCAAGAAGGCCCUUGCCAGAUGUGGCUCCUGGAUUGUGGACUUUUCAGCCCCCAGAACUGUGAGCCAAACAAACUUCUUUUGUUCAUAACUUCCCCAGUCUGUGAUAUCCUGUUACAGCAGCAGAAAAUGGACUAAGACACCCAGGGAUGUACCUGGAACCUGGAAAAAGCUGUUGGAAGGUAGCUAGAGAAGAGCUCAUCACAGCAGUAUAAGGACAAUCUCUGCUCUUGUACGCUCAGGGGCAGAUCUGCAUCACGGGCUUGCAUGUCCAAUUUCACCUUGGCACUUGCUUCUCCGAGGGUCUGGACAUGGGGCUUCGUUUGAGUCUGGAAGCAGUGGAGAGGGGCCAGAAGCUCCAGGCCUUGGCUUGGAGAUCUCUACAGGUGUGCAUGGAGAUGUUUGAAGUGCUAAUGGCUGAGACAGAGCAAGUGGCAGAGGCCUAGGAGACGGAGGCUGAAAGAGUCUGAGGAGGAAAGGAGGCACUGAGGGACUCACAUGAAGCUACUCUGUCAGCAUUCUAAAACUUCUGACAUUCUUUUCUAUGAAGAUAAUUGAAUCACCAAAUUUGAUGAAAUGUUCCCCAAAUAUCAGGUGAAAAAAACUCAUCUAAACCUUUGGACUUGGAAUUGCCCACAUAGACCACAUCAGCAAUGGAAGACAGAGCAAAUAACAUGUCGGUUCAAUGUAUGAAGGAGCUUUUCUUUCCCCUGCCCCAACCCUCAGACAGGUAAAUCUGUGAAAGCUCUAUUUUGAUUCUUUUUAAAUUAUUUGUUUUACAUGUUUUGUGUUUUAUGUUGGCUGAUUCCAAAUGGUUGAAAUAGUGGAGGUCCAACAACCAUUUUCACAGUGUAAUCUUCAGAAGUUCAUCCUUUGGGUUGUAAUUUCAUGAUAAGGAGGAGCAAGAAGAUGCUUUUUGUAACUCAAAUAGCAUCUUCUGAGAAAGGUCUCUAUUUUCACUUGUGUCUUAACUUACAACUGUGUUCAACUCUAUUUCCUUUCCUUGCUUUACAUUUUUUCUUAUGCACCUAUAAUUAUCCAAUUUACUAUAUAUUUUAUAUUUGUCUGUUAUUGUCUGUUUUCUCCACUAAAACAUAAACUUCUUGCAGGAUUUUUGUCUGUUUUUCUCACUGUUGAAUCCCAAAAGCAAAGAAGAAUACCUAGCAUAGAGUUAGUGUUCAAGAAACAUUUGCUAAAUGGAUGAACACCUCUUCAUUUUAUGAGAAAUGAAUCUUCCCCAAGAAGGGGCUCCCGGGUGCAUCUUGUGUGUAGACAUCUCUAUGUCCCCAGGCUGCUGUAGAGCUGAGUCAUCUUUGUGCCCACACCUGGGAAGCAGGACCCUUGUUCGUGUUUCUUUGGCCUUGGGCAUGUCAGUGAGUAAGGAGGAUGUGUGGGAUCUGUGUCCAUAUUUACGUAAGAAAGCAAUAUAGCCUACUGCCCCUUUCAUUUUCAGCAAGUGUGUGUUUACACUGGCCUGGGAUCUACUAUAAAGUUUAAUGUUUGGUUAUACAUUUAUUUCUCAGCUACUUUUGUGAAUAAACAUUUUCUAAAACAUAUCUAUUUUAAAAGUGACAAUGUUUGAAUGAAAGAAAGAGGAGGAGUGAAGCCUGGUAGUUAAUUUGCAGAACUUAGAGCCUGAAUUUUUUGGGUUGGAUCUUUGAUUUUACCAUUCAUUAGUUUUGUGAUCUUCCUCAAUUUCCCAAUCUGUAAAAUGGAAAUAAUAAUAGUACCUACCUCAUGGGAUGUCAAGAGUAAAUAUAAAAAAUGUGUGACACCCAGGAAUGACUAUAUAAGUACUAGCAGUUAAUAUUAUUUAUUAUUAUUAUUCCUGCUUGAAUAAUCACUUUGAGCUAAAUCACUUUGUUUUUACUACUAGCAAUAAGCAUGCUUAAAUACUUUUAAUGUUAUUAUAAUUUGUAUUAUAGUAGACUAAUCUGGAAUUUUAUUAAGCAGAAUUCCCUCUAGACAGGCAUCUAUGCAUACGGAGCAAAAAAUGAUGUAUAUAAUAAUAAGUUUGAGGCACUGAAAGAUCUUGAAUGAGCUUCUGAAUCAUCAGUUACUGUAUCUUUGGGGAACACCAGAGAAAGACUCUCCUUACCAUCCUCACUGCAACUAAACUUCGGGACCCUGGGCUUUGGGUUCAUGGUCUCGCCACUGAAAAGGUUCCCUCCACACUUUUGGAAUUGUGCACCCAUUGGAACCCUUGAGGUAAAGCUAACCAGAGAAAUUUCUCCCAAGAAGAAGAAGAUGGCAUCCUUGAAGUGAACAGCUUUUCCCAAGUUCACAGAAAGUUUGCAGCCAGCCUUAUACAUGGAUAACCUUCUACUUUGAUAGAGAUGAAGGCCCAAUGCAGGUAAGAAACUUUAGUGGUACAUAUGUUGCCCCAUAAUCACUCAAAAACAAAAUAUUGGUUCAUCCCUCUUAACCCACAUCAUGGGUUAAAGAGAACAUUGCCAGGGGGUCUUCACUCUCCUAGAAGGGCAUCAUUUGUUAAGUCCUUUUUCCAUGGCUUAAAGUAAAGGAAGCAAUGAUUAGAAAUGUAUCCCUCAUGAUAGGCUCUAUAGCAAAUCUACUUUAAAGGCUAUCGUUACACAACAGAUUUUAAAUUCUCUUUGAAAGUUAUGCUAAAUAGAAUUGGCUAAACAAAGAAGUUCUUCUGCAGCUGCUGACACUUGCGGCCUAUGGAGAAACAGGUCAAAUGCAGAUUAUAAAAAUUCAGUGUAGGGGAUUAAUGAAAAGACCACUUAGUCAAGUGAGUAGACUCUUCAUCUAGCUCAUUCUUUAAACUAUUUAAGUGUAGGUGGUUUGGUUUCUAGGGACCCUGGUUAAGGAGCAUACUCUGAACUCUGGGUAUUUUCCUUCCAGUAGUGAUAAUAGUAGUCUCCUUGGUGCACUGUAUUCUCUCAAAGGUUUUAAAUGCUUGCAUGCAGCCAUCUCUAGAACAUCAAAUGGUCUCUCUUCGACUGGAAUGACAACAGCUGAAAGAAAUGUUCAACCAUGAGGACACCAUACCUAUAAAUGAUGUGCUGAGACUGGAAACCCAAAAUGUUGGUAACUGAGAAGUGGCACUAAGGCCCUAAGUUUUGGUUGCACACUCACCUAAGUGAGAACCUGACCAAAAAGGGGGGAUUUUUAAAACAAAACUCUGUGAGGCCAUUGUUUUGGACUAAGCUCAUGCACUCAUGCCCUGGGCCCCAACAGACUAAAGCAAACACAGAUGGAGUCAUUUGUGCUAAGACUUUAAGGAAACGCUUGGAUUCCACAACAGACUAGCUUUUGUUUUUUUCUUCUGCAAAUCUCUAUAACAAACAUUUCUGACAACAUAGGUAUCCACCCCCUGAAGUUCCCAUUAAAUCUUUUAACCAAAUUCAUUUCCUCUCACCUAGAGACCAUCAAGCUUCAGAUGAUGAUGCAACAAAGGUUUCAGCCAGUUCCAGGUGAAGACACCACCCUUGGACAUCAAGAAGCUACCCUGCCUCCACUAGAUAGAGCAGGGAGAGUUCUGUGAUCCCCAAUAGGGCCUUUGUAGACGCUAUCCCUUUGUGGAGAAGACUCUCAACACCCUUCAAAUACUAUGAUCUCAUCAGGAAGGCCCUCCCUGACCACCUAUGCCUGGAACUGUUCUGGGUUUGUGAGACACAGUUGGGAAGAAGACAGACUUGAGCACGGGCAGCGGUGGUUGCCAUGAAGAUGUGUGAGAAGACAGGCCUGCCUGAAAAUGCUGCUGGUCCUGGUACUGUCCUGCCCGCAACAGCACGCACACUCCAGUCUUGCCUUUUCUUGUGCUUUUUUUUCCAUUUCUUUUUAAAGAAAUCUCAUUUCCCUUCUU
rnacentral:lncRNA from 1 species